rnacentral:lncRNA from 10 species
AUCCCAUUAAAACACUUCUGAAGAAAGGUCAAGAUACAAAAAUCAAUUGUAUUUUCAUAUAGUAGCACCAAACAUUUGGGAACUGAUAUUUAAAAAACCAAUUCCAUUUACAAUAGUGUCAAAAAACAUAAGAUAAUUAGCAACAGAUUAAUAAAAGAUGGGAAAUAUUCAAUAUCAAUACUGAAAACACAAGAUGAUGCUGAGAGAAAUUAAAGAAGAUGUAAAUACAUGGAAAGAUAUACUAUGUUCAUGGAUUGGACAACUCAGUAUUAAUAUGUCAGUUCCCCCUAAGCUGAAGUAUGGCUUCAACACAAUCCCAAUAGGCUUUCAUUUAAAACAAAUAUAAAUUGACAAAUGAAUUUUAAAAUUUGGAAAUGUAGAGACUUAGAAUAGGCAAAACAAUUUAGGAAAAGAAGAAAAAGUUGGAGAGCUUACACUACCUAACAUCAAGUUUUACUGUAAAGCUAGCUAUUUAAAUAGUGUGGUAUUGACCUAAGAAUAGACAAAUAGAUGAGUGGAGCUCAGAAGUAGACCCACACUGACAUGAACAAUUGACUGUUGACAAAAUUAUCAAAGCAAUUCAACAGGGAAAGGAUGGCCUUUUCAACAAAUGGUGGUGGUGGUCAGGCGUGGUGGCUCAUCAUGCCUGUAAUCCCAGCACUUUGGGAGGCCAAGGCAGGCGGAUCACCUGAGGUCAGGAGUUCGAGACCAGCCUGGCCAACAUGGUGAAACCCCAUCUCUACUAAAAAUACAAAAAUAAGCCAGGCCGGGGGAUGGGGGCACCUGUAAUCCCAGCUACUUGGGAGGCUGAGGCAGGAGAAUCACUUGAACCCGGGAGGCAUAGGUUGCAGUGAGCUGAGACUGCGCCAUUGCACUCCAGCCUGGGCAACAAGAGAGAGACUCCAUCUCAAAAAACAACAAACAAACAAACAAACAAAACAUCCCCUCCCCAAAAAAUGGUUCUGGAACAGCUGAAUAUCCAUGGGAAAAACAUUAACUUUGACUAUUCCCUCGCCAUACACAAAAUUAAGUCAAGAUUGGUCAUAAACUCAAAUAUGAAAGCAAAACCCAUAAAAGCUUUUUGAAGAAAAUGGGAAAUGAAGGAUAAUAUCUUUGUGGUCAAGGAGCAGACAAAGAUUUCUUUGUUAGAAUACAGAAAACAAUAACCAUGAAAUAAACAGUUAAUGAAUUAGACGUUAAAAAAAUUAAAAACUUCUGCUCAUCAAAGCAAGCGUCAUAAUGGACAAGCCACAGACUCAGAAAAAUAUUUGCAUUUGCAAAACCUGUGUCUGACAAAGGAUUUAUGAGAAUUUAUAAAGAACUCCUACAACCUAAUAAUAAAAACACAAACAGCCCAAUUAAAAAAUGGGCAAAAGUCUUGAUGGCCCCUCCUUAUUUCUUUAUAGAAAUAUAUUAGGGUCAGAGGCAGUGGCUCACACUUGUAAUCUCAGCACUUUGGAAGGCUGUGGUGGGCGGAUCACUUGAGGUCAGGAG